CCUACGGGAGGCAGCAGUGAGGAAUAUUGGUCAAUGGACGCAAGUCUGAACCAGCCAAGCCGCGUGCAGGAAGACGGCCCUAUGAGUUGUAAACUGCUUUUAUACGAGAGUAAACGCAGAUACGCGUAUCUGUCUGAAUGUAUCUUACGAAUAAGGAUCGGCUAACUCCGUGCCAGCAGCCGCGGUAAUACGGAGGAUUCGAGCGUUAUCCGGAUUUAUUGGGUUUAAAGGGUGCGUAGGUGGGUUGAUAAGUUAGAGGUGAAAUCCUGAGGCUCAACCUCGGAAUUGCAUUUGAUACUGUUCGGCUAGAGUGUAGUUGCGGUAGGCGGAAUGUAUGGUGUAGCGGUGAAAUGCUUAGAGAUCAUACAGAACACCGAUUGCGAAGGCAGCUUACCAAGCUACUUCUGACGUUGAGGCACGAAAGCGUGGGGAGCAAACAGGAUUAGAUACCCUGGUAGUC
rnacentral:rRNA from 1 species